GAGGCCUGCCUGCCCAGUGACAAACGUUCAACGGCCGCGGUAUCCUGACCGUGCAAAGGUAGCAUAAUCACUUGUUCCUUAAUUGGGGACUGGAAUGAAUGGCCUCACGAGGAUUCAACUGUCUCUUACCUCUAAUCAGUGAAAUUGACCUCCCCGUGAAGAGGCGGGGAUACAACAACAAGACGAGAAGACCCUAUGGAGCUUUAAUUUUCUGUCUUAACUACUAAAUAACUAACCCUACUGGGAUAAAAAAAAAGAGAAGUAAGUCAGUAAUUUCGGUUGGGGUGACCUCGGAAAAUAAAACAACCUCCGAAUGAUUUUAACCAAGACAAACAAGUCAAAGUAUUAAAAAUCAAAUUGACCCAAUUCAUUUGAUCAACGGACCAAGUUACCCUAGGGAUAACAGCGCAAUCCUAUUCAAGAGUCCAUAUCGACAAUUAGGGUUUACGACCUCGAUGUUGGAUCAGGACAUCCCAAUGGUGCAGCAGCUAUUAACGGUUCGUUUGUUCAACGAUUAAAGUCCUACGUGAUCUG
rnacentral:rRNA from 1 species